GUGUCCCCCUCACUACAGUGCUCCUUCUUCUACCUCUGGACAGAGCCGAGCUCUCCAGCCCGUGCACAGUUGCCGCCGCCUCCUCCUUCCAAAUCUGGCCUCCCCGUUGCUCCUCUUUCCAAAUUAGUUGCGGGAAUGGAAUCCUAUCAAUCUCCUCUUCCUUUUCCCCAAGAAAUCCCCAAAAGUUUCUAUAGGAAAUCCUUUCCAAUUUCGCGGAUCAAUAUUUCCUUUUGCCGGCAAGGAUCCUAAACUUUCCCGGAGUUUCUUCCGUCGAUUUGGGCCCGGACCCGAGCUCCCGUGCCUAUAUAAAGCAUCCCCUCGUCGUCCUCUACCUAACCCCUCAAGUCCCGUCUUCCGCCGUCGCCGGAAUCGCUCUCCCCGGGCUCUCCUUCUCUCUCCAAGCGCCGGCGCCGCUCCAGCCGCAUCUCGCCGUCGCCUCGGCCGUCGCCGGUAGCGCCGCCACCUCCCUCGGCUCCGAAAAGUCGAUCUCUACCCCGGCCGCUUGUUAUUUUGCGCCAAAUCCCACCGGAGGUAGCCCGUCGUCGUGAACCGGAGCGCCGCCGUCGUCGCUGUGCCUCCAGCCGCGCCGUUCGUCGUCGUCCGUCGUCGCCUUCGGUCGCCGUCGUCUUCAUUGGAUUCGCAGCUGCAAGCAGAAGACCGUCCACCACCUCUUCUUCGCCAAAUAUUACCGGAACGCCGUCGCCGUCUUUGACCAGUACCUCGCCGCCUUUCCAAGCUCACUGCCGGCCGUCUGCUGUCUCAUCCAUCGUCGCGCCACCCCUCGCGUCGUCAUCGUCUCUGUGUGGUGUCGUCGGACCAUCGCUGGCUUCUUCUCCGGUCGCCGCCGUUUCCUGUUGAAGAAAAGUUGCAAAGGAGAAGACGUUUGGGUUAUACCCCAGUUGAGCUGCCUGUGGGAGUGGAGCUGGAUCUUCGCUAGACCUUUGUGUACCUCGGUUGAUUCCUGGACGAGGAUUUUAAUACACAAAUUAGUUCGGAAAUUACUAGUGAAUUUCUGGGCGUGACAUGUGUACCAGCUUUGCAACCGGGUGAUAAGGCAGUUCGGGAGGCGGCAAACAAUCCCGCAAAGAUUCUCUACAAGCAUCGAUCUCCAUAAGGUGGACAGAAGGAAAAACAAGAAGACCACCGAUUGGACUGCUUAUCAUCAGACACACAUCGAUCGAUGGGACCAGUUCAAAGCCAACCGCAUGCCGGAUAACGCAAUGCACAAUAGGCAAGAGUUCAACGCAUACUUAGCCUGGCUCGCGAGGAACUACCGCCUCGCCCUACGUCCGGCUUGGACGCUAGCCGACAUAGCGGACAACCUGACUGAGGUGGAGGAGUAGAACGAGUACGAUACAAGUACUCGUAGAGGUAGCACGGUCGAGACGGGUCCGGUUCGAGAUAGAGU